rnacentral:rRNA from 1 species
UACGUAGGGGGGCAAGCGUUGUCCGGAAUCAUUGGGCGUAAAGCGCGCGUAGGCGGCCCGGUAAGUCCGUUGUGAAAGUCAAAGGCUCAACCUUUUGAACGCCGAUGGAUACUGCCGGGCUAGAGUCCGGAAGAGGCGAGUGGAAUUCCUGGUGUAGCGGUGGAAUGCGCAGAUAUCAGGAGGAACACCGAUUGCGAAGGCAG